AGCUUGAUUCUAGUCUUACUCUCUGAAAAAAAAAAACAGGAGAGGUGUAGAAUAAGUCGGAGGAGCAAUCCGCCGGCGCCGGUGAAAUACCACAAACUACUUUUAUCGUUUCUUUUUACUUAUUCGGUGAAGCAGAGCUGGACCUCCACGUCCACUUUUUAGCGUUAAGAUCACUCUUCUGCCGGUCGAUUCGAGCCGAAGACACUGUUAGGUUGGGAGUUUGGCUUGGGCGGCACGACUGCAAAAUGAUAACGCAGCUAGCAGGUGUCCUAAGAUGUUGAGAACGGAAAUCUCAUGUAGAACAAAAGGGUACAAGCUCACUUGAUUUUGACUUUCAGUAUGGAUACAAACUGUGAAAGCGUGGCCUAUCAAUUCCUUAAGGCU